UCUGGCCAUAGCUUUCCUUAGGGUUAUGUAGUGGUUUGGUCCAAAAUACUCAUUACUGUUUAUCUGCUGUGAGAUAAGAAUUAGGAGAAAUGCAAAACAGGCACCAAACUUGAAAGAAUAUAAAGAAGUUUAUUAACAGACCUAAAAGAGGAAAAAAAAAAAUUAUACCACCUUCAGAACUCUCCUCCUCCCCCCACCUUCCUCCCUUCUCCCACUGACAAUGUGAAAAGACAACCCUUAAGAUGUUCAGUCUGUUUACCACUUCCAUAAUAACCUUGUUCAGUCCAUUUAGAAAGAGAAGUCUCUUCUUGCUCAUGCUAUGAAAACAUUAUCACAACGAGACAGCCGCCCACUUCCAAAUAUUGUUCAGUCCAUUUAGGAAGAGAAGUCUCUUCUUGCUCAUGCUAUGAAAACAUUAUCACAACGAGACAGCCGCCCACUUCCAAAUAUUGUUCAGUCCAUUUAGGAAGAGGAGUCUCUCUGCCUGCGUGUGAGUCCUUUCCCCCGACUUGCAGCUUUUCCCGCAACUGCUUUCGAGGGUCCACUCUUGAAGUUUUUUGGGGUACAAUUUUAAGGUUGAGCCGUUCAGAAACAAAAACAGAGGCCCUUCUCCUUCCCUGGGAGCAAAGGGUCUUCAUCAUCUUCAUCUUUAGGACUAUCUCUGGGAGCAUCUCUAGGAACUGAGGUUUUCUCCUUUCCCAUUUGGAGCAAAAGUCCUCAUCUGGUUCAUCUCUACGGACUGAGGUUUUCUCCUUUCCCGUUUGGAGCAAAAGUCCUCAUCUGGUUCAUCUCUCCCUGUCCAAACUUCUCAUGAAAUUACAGCUGCGUCAGCAUCUGCCUAUCUCAGCGCAGGUGCUUUUGCUUACGAGUUGAACACUCCACCCCCCAUAUCUUCAUGAAAUUACAACAGGAUACUCUGAUAUAUCAUAGCUUCACAACAGAAUUUCAGCUUUAAGCAUCUCCUCUCUCUCUUCCCUCAGGUUUUCAGCUCUUCACAGCAAUAAAAGGGUUAAUCUCACCUCGGC
rnacentral:lncRNA from 13 species